rfam:Picea glauca, whole genome shotgun sequence.
ACAUUCCUACAUUGUAGCAUUAAUGCACUAGAUCCCAUUAGGACUAUGUAUUUAUGCACGUUCAGGCUAGAGUAGUACUGGGAUGGGUGACCUCCUAGGAAGUACUAGUGUUUUGCAUGAC